rnacentral:rRNA from 1 species
UACGUAGGGGGCGAGCGUUGUCCGGAUUUACUGGGCGUAAAGAGCGUGUAGGCGGCCGAGCAGGUCCGUUGUGAAAACUGGAGGCUUAACCUCCAGACGUCGACGGAAACCGCGCGGCUAGAGUCCGGAAGAGGAGAGUGGAAUUCCUGGUGUAGCGGUGAAAUGCGCAGAUAUCAGGAAGAACACCUAUGGCGAAGGCAGCUCUCUGGGACGGUACUGACGCUGAGACGCGAAAGCGUGGGGAGCGAACAGG